rnacentral:rRNA from 1 species
UACGUAGGGGGCAAGCGUUGUCCGGAAUUAUUGGGCGUAAAGGGCUCGUAGGCGGUUUGUCGCGUCGGGAGUGAAAACCAUGGGCUUAACUCAUGGCUUGCUUUCGAUACGGGCAGACUAGAGGUAUGCAGGGGAGAACGGAAUUCCUGGUGUAGCGGUGAAAUGCGCAGAUAUCAGGAGGAACACCGGUGGCGAAGGCGGUUCUCUGGGCAUGAUCUGACGCUGAGGAGCGAAAGUGUGGGGAGCGAACAGG